ACAUCUUUCUCGGCCAAUUGGCUUUGAUCGAGUGUAGUAUCUGUUCUUUUCAGUUUAAUAGCUGAAAGCAGCCCACGGGUUGCAAUUACUAUUAACUCAAUUUUUUGUAGGGUCCAGAGUUGUGCUUGAUUGCACACUUUGGUUGGUUUCAAUCAGACAUUGCACUGUCCGUCAGAAUUGGAGCUAUCCCA
rnacentral:snRNA from 1 species